rnacentral:rRNA from 1 species
AUUGAACGCUGGCGGCAUGCCUUACACAUGCAAGUCGAACGGUAACGGGCCUUCGGGUGCCGACGAAUGGCGAACGGGUGAGUAAUGUAUCGGAACGUACCUUUCAGUGGGGGAUAACGUAGCGAAAGUUACGCUAAUACCGCAUAUUCUGUGAGCAGGAAAGCAGGGGAUCGCAAGACCUUGAGCUGAUUGAGCGGCAGAUAUCAGAUUAGCUAGUUGGUGAGGUAAAGGCUCACCAAGGCGACGAUCUGUAGCGGGUCUGAGAGGAUGAUCCGCCACACUGGAACUGAGACACGGUCCAGACUCCUACGGGAGGCAGCAGUGGGGAAUUUUGGACAAUGGGGGCAACCCUGAUCCAGCCAUGCCGCGUGAGUGAAGAAGGCCUUCGGGUUGUAAAGCUCUUUCGGCCGGGAAGAAAUCGUAUCAGCUAAUACCCGGUGCGGAUGACGGUACCGGCAUAAGAAGCACCGGCCAACUACGUGCCAGCAGCCGCGGUAAGAC